GCUCCGGUGGCCUAGUGGUUAGAGCGUCCGCUUCGAAUGUGGGAGGUCGCGGUUUCAAGACCCGGCCGGAUCA